CUGAGGUGGCGCGUGGAUGUGAUGCAACACACCCGGCCUUUCGCAAUGUGUGCUGGCCCAAUAAGACAGCAAAAAGGGCCAUGUAGCACCACCCAGAGUGGGUUGUGGUUACUCGGAUCAGAGGAACAGGAAGCUUCCCUUUCCUCCCUCCACCCACCUCAUUGCUGGUAACUCGUGAAAUUGAGCCUUCAGUCAGAUACCUUGGUCUGUGUGGAGGACACUACUUUUGAAUGACAUCAAUAAAAUGAAGGACAACUGGGAGAAGCUUUUGGAUUCCAUGCGGUCACACCUGACGGCGGCGAACGAUACCCUGAAUCUGAAUUCAUACCUCAACAUUACAGCAUUCCUACCAACAAAAAAGAAGAAUACACGACUGCUGGACAUAGGUCAGCAGGACUAUUCACUGAGCAAUGAAACUUCAAUUCUGGCACUGCGUGUCGAGGCGAAGAGACAAUGGGUGCGCAAUUUGCUUGACGGAUUCCAAGAAGGCACGAUUUCACAGAACGACGCGUACACUGAGGUGCGAGAAGAAAUGCAAGUGUUACAAGACCUUGUGCUUGUGCUCAUCACUAAAAAUCAGCACAUUAUCAAUCUUUUGUCUGCUGAGAUUUAUGAAGACACCUCCUUUUUUGGAAAACUUCUGAACAAGCUGUUGUUCGGAAACAUAUGUGCUUUGAAAAAGCACCACGUGCAAAUCCAAGAGGCCUUCAACUUGGUUCGGACCUGUGUUCGUGAAGCUUGCAAUAUAAUUUACUCCAUGAAAAUGCACUAAAAUGGCAGGAACUGCAUCAUCUUUCAUUUGUGACGUCACAGACACGAUAAAACAAUUACCUUUCACUGUUUGGUGUCGCUUGUAAUAUUUUGAUCACAUGACUAUACUUGCAAGUCAUUAUCACUGUUUGUUCUUCCGUACUUCUUCCAUAUCCGACGGUUCUUCCAAAUGGGAUUUCUUGUGUUCUUAUUUGUCCUUCUUGCCCUUUUAAAUGCAUCUCUCCUUUGUGAUUUUGAGGGAACAUCCCCACCCAUGCAAAGAUUCACUCAGAAAGCUGUGGAAGAGAUCAAGAAGUCGAAACACACCAUAGCAGCCUUGUCUAGAUUUUCAACUUCAACUUUGUGCUUAACACGUCAUCUCAAGCCUGGUGUUGGCUUAACGGUUAAGGAGGUUGGCAGGCUGAAGGUCCUGAGUUCAAGCCCUUGUGAUCAUGCCAUCAACACCAGAUGGGUUGACUCAGCCUGUCAUCCUUCCAAGGUCGGUAAAAUGAGUACCAGCUUCCUGGGAAUAAUGAGCCAUUCGAUUGUCCUGCGUCAGAGUGGUGACGCGUCCAGGAUUGUGCCCCUGACACAUGGAAAAACUGCUUCAGUAGCCUGACGUGUCUGAAGACGUGAAAGGAGUCGUUCUUCUUUUUCUUCGUCAAGUCUACUCAUACUGUCAUUGUCAACUUCAUCAAAUAUACUUUUGCUCAGUACUCGCAGGUAGACCCAAAUAAUUAAAAAAGAAGUUCAAAGCAAUCAUAACAUGGUCAUUCUUGCUUCCUGAUGUCUGCCUGAUGUCCAACACCACAUCCUCUUCAAUCGUGAAGACCAGAUCCAGUGAAGACUUGCUCUUCCAUGAGCCUACAUCUUGUAUUUAAAAAAAAUCCGAGUAAUAUCCAUGUUCUAAGUGGCUGGUACAAUGUUAAAAUAUUUGAAUUUCCUUCCAUACUUUUAUUUCUAUAUUUCUUCGUUUAUCAUACAGAACUGUAUAACAAGGAAAUUUUACACGGGAGAAGGUUUUUCGGCCCAUCAUGCCUGCACUAUAUCAAAUCCAAAUGAAACAAUUUUGUCAAUGGUCAAACUAACGACUUCAUUUAAUUGGGGUGGGGGGGGGAGAGGAAAGUGUGGCAAGAUCAGGGACAUCACCAGCAGGCAUUAAAAAUAAAAAUGUUCUUUUUGUGUUGAUUAUUUUGGGGGGUGAGUGGGGGAGUGUGUGAUGGUGGUUUCAGGGUGAAGAAUAUUCUAGAACACCGACCACAGACUAUUCCUUUAGAGACCCUCUCACAAACAUCAUAAUCAGCACAGGUGCACUCAACAUGUGUGUAGUGGAAGUGUGGUAAUGUAGUCAUGUGGAAGUGUGGUAAUAUAGUCAUGUGGAAGCGUGGUAAUGUAGUCAUGUGGAAGCAUUGUAAUGUAGUCACGUGGAAGCGUGGUAAUGUGGUAAUGUGGAAGCGUUGUAAUGUAGUCACGUGGAAGCGUGGUGAUGUGGAAGCGUGGUAAUGUAGUAAUGUGGAAGUAUGGUAAUGUAGUCAAAAUAUCAUGUCACAUACACAACAAUCAUCGAUGCUUUACAAUGUCACCAUUGUACUUUUCUUGGAUGCAAAGUCGUCAAUAAUGUCGCCAUACUUCAGACGUCAUCCAACGUCCUUCUCGAUUGAGGUGAUGGUCAGGUGUGACAGCCUGCCCUGUGACAUUGGAGAGUGCAAGUAGCUCUUUAUGAGCUUCAGCUUUGAGAAAGAGUGUUCUGCAGACACAACAGUUACCGGCAUCAUCAGUCGUCAGUAAAACCCCAGAGCCACGUGUACAUUUGGAUAAGUGUCAAUGAGGGAGCUUUCAGUUAUAUAUCUCAGUGUUUCAAGUGGAGAACAUCGAAGAAAGACAAAUAUAUACAUAUUGUUGUGGUUGACGAAAUUCGCAAACCACCAUUCAGGUCCCGUAGGUGAGAUAUCUCUGUAAGUAUAUGU
rnacentral:lncRNA from 1 species